rnacentral:lncRNA from 1 species
GUCUUGAAGCAAUGUCUGAACUCUUUCCAAUGGAGUGAAAAUGGCUUCUGUUGUCCCUGCAAGUACUGCCGCCACGCCACGGGUUGCAAACUCUGGGGCACUGACGUGCUUUUGGAGAAGGGAAGACAAAUCCUCGUACAGACCAAACAUAAGUGCCAGGGUGGUGGUUUUCUGCAUUAAUGGCGGAAGGAUUCCACGAUACAAGUUUCUAAAUCCAUCCCUCCUCAACUGAAGCACUGCAUCCCGGGUUUUGAUUCCAUAGAGCUGCUGCCGAAAAAGGAUCUUCUGAAUGGGAAAUGUGAUGGCUACAUUGUUGAAAGCUGCGCAGCAGCCACACAAGUAAUGCUUCAUCUCACCAACAUUUGUAAUGUGAGGUGAGAUGUCUUGUUUUGAAGAUGUAAGGAUUGGUGGUCUCUUUUCAUGAGCUUCUGAAUCCAUCAUGUUGCUUAAGGUCUCUCUUCUUCAUGAAGGAUUUUUUUUAACCUACAAAUAAAAAAUGAUAAUGGGUAAAUUUUUUUUGUGGUGCUGGGGAUGGAACCCAGAGCCUUGUGCAUACCAGGCAAGUGCUCUACCACUGAAUUAUGCCUCUAGUCCAAGGGAAAACCUUUUCAUGGAGAGACAAACACAUGGAAUUUCUCUUUAAUCCCUCCUCCAAUUUAUGAACCAUACGUUUUCCCUUUUAGACUAGGCAAGUAGUUCGUCACAUAAAUUUUUUUUCAUUAUCAUGUUAAUUUAGUAUAUAUGAAUGGAAUUCAGUGUGAUAAUUCAGUGCACUAUACUAUAUAUCAGCAAUUCUUUAAAGUAUUUUCAGAAGACCCCUUGCCAAGUGCUAUGGCACACGCCUAUAAUCCUAGCUAGUUGGGAGAUAGGAAGACCAAGUUCAAGGUCAGCCUCAGCAACUUAGUGUGACCCUGUCUCAAAUUAAAAAAUAACUAGGGAUGGAGGUAUAGCUCAGUAGUAGAGCACCCAUGGGUUCUAUUCCCAGUAUGUGGGAAAGGGGGAGGCUCUUUGGGAUUCACAAUAAUAAUUUUUAAGAGUGGAACCAGGUACUGCGGUUGUGGCUUAGUGGUAAAGCACUUGCCUAGCAUGUGUAAGGCACUGGGUUCGAUUCUCUUAUGUAAAUAAAUAAAUGAAUCAAAUUAAAGUCCACCAACAUCUAAAAAAACAUUAAAAAAAAAAAGAGGGGAGCCAGGCACAGUGGUGCACAUGACUUGGGAGGCUGAGGAAGGCCAGCCUCAGCAACUUUGUGAGAUACCAUCUCAAAAUAAAAAAUUAAAAGGGCUGGGGAUGUAGCUCAGUUCAAUUUCUAGUACUAAAUACAAACAAAUAGAUAAAAAUAGUGUAAAGGAUCCUGAGACCAAAAUAGUUCAAGCACCACUGAACUACUUCCUAACUAUUGGCUGUACUAAACAAUGGUAUAUCUCCAUUAUUUUACUGAAAUAAACUCAAAGUCUUCCCAUGGUAGUUAAUACAGCAAAAUGUGCAUGCAUGCAUUCUAUUCAUACUAAGGUACUAAAUACAAGUUAUUUAGUACCUUUGAACUUGGCCCUCUGGCAAGUAUUAGAGAUUCAAAGACAAGAAAUUCACAAACUACAAGAAGAACCUGCCAAUGUAAACAAUUACAACGCAGUGCAAUAUCUUCUACGAUAAAUAUGUGCUGUUGGACACAUGAGGUACGAAUGCUGGGAGGUGGAGAGAUGUGGAAAAUGAGGUCACAGAAGGCCUGUAGGCUGUACUAUAUUUUUACAUAAUUUAAUUUUCAAAACAACUCUAUAUUAUUUUCUCAGUUUUACAAAACAAAAUGAAACAAAAUAAACCUCCCCCCCAAAACAAAAAUCAACAUUCUCCAUUGUUCAAGGUAUACCUAGUAACUGGUGGGGCCAGCAUUUUGAAAUGAAGUCUGACUCCAGGGCUCACAUGCCUACUACCACACCACAGACUGCAAUGACUGUGGGAGGCUGCCUUGGAUAAGAGGCAGGUAGACCAGAGAGUGCAAGGAUCUGAAGUCUAAACAUAUAGGCUUGCUUACUGAGUGGCACCAAGGCAAAGUCCUACCCCUGUAACACAUCUGCUUUCAUAAAAUACAAGCAAGCUCUUUGCUUCCAGUCAUCGAAAUCUGAUUUUUCCAGGCUGGGGAUGUGGCUCAAGUGGUAGCGCGCUCGCCUGGCAUGCGUGCGGCCCAGGUUCGAUCCUCAGCACCACAUACAAAGAAAGAUGUUGUGUCCGCCGAAAACUAAGAAAAAUAAAUAUUAAAAAAAUUCUCUCUCUCUCUCUCUCUCGCUCUUAAAAAAAAAAAAAAAAUUCUCUCACUCUCUUAAAAAAAAAAUCUGACUUUUCCAAACAGAAAACAAAAACAAAAGAUUCAAAUUGGAUUAUCCAGAACAAUUCCUACAUUGCAAGUGUGGUCCUGGAAACUGUAUUUAGGGAUGACAUGGUCAUUUUAUUAUACUUUAGAUAUAUCAGGCUAAAUAUUUUAAAAUUGACUUUAAUUCCUUAACAGUAAGUCAGCACACUUACUAAGACUAUUAAAUAAGUCAAUUUAAAAAUGAACAAAGGGGGCUGGGGAUAUAGCUCAGUUGGUACGGUGCUUGCCUUGCACAAACAAGGCCCAGGGUUAAAUUCCCAGCACCACAAAAAACAAACAAAAAAGGACUUCAACAGACAUUUCUCUGAAGAUAAUGUACAAAAUGACCAAUAAGCACAUGAGAAGAUGCUCAAUGUCAGUGAUCAGAGAAAUGCAAAUCAAGACCACAAGACAGUAUCACCUCAUACCUAUGAAGGUGGCUACUACUGCAAAACCAAAGAACAACAAUAGAAACACAGAAAGUAACAAGUGCUGACAGGGAUGUGAAGCUGGAAUGCUCAGACACCCUUAGUGGGACUGCAAAAUGGUACAACUGCUAUGGAAAACAGCAUCCUGCACCUGGGUAUCCAAAAUAACAAAGCAGAGCCAUAAAGACCAUGCAUAUCCACAUUUAGAGCAGCUCUACUUAAGAACCCAGAGGCAAGGACUGGGGUUGGGGCUCAGUGGUAGAGCACUUGCCUAGCACAUGUGAGGCACUGGAUUUGAUCCUCAGCACCAUAUAAAAAUAAAUAAAUAAAAUAAAGUUAUUGAAGUUCACCUAAAACUAAAAAAUAUUAAAAAAAAAAAAAAAAAGAACCCAGAGGUGAAGGCAUCCAAGCCACAUACAAGGGCUUCCACGAGAAACAGAGUCAGAUACCUCAUCAAGAUAUCUGUCUUAGGACAAAAAACUACAAAGUGCCUUAUGUUUUUCCCUCCAAAUACUACACAUGUGCCGCUGUGAACUGUGAAACAUUCAGGACUAAAGGUACAGAGAAAUGUGAUCACGGUCAAGCAGAGUAUGUAGCUGAAGCAGAGAAAAACCAGCAGCAGCUCUUGAAAGCUGACAUCCACAGAAGCCACAGUCCACAACAAAGUCCACAACACACAACCACGAUUUCCCUUCUAAGAAUAAAGCUUAGGGAAAUAAUUACUUACAUAAGAUGUAUGCAAAGAUUCACCCCUAACAUCAUCACAACGCUUUCUUGUUGUUUUUGGAACUGGGGAUUAACCCAGAGGCACUCUACCACUGGGCCACAUCCCCAGAGAUUUUUAAAUUUUGAGACAGUGUCAUGCUCAGUUACCCAGGCUGGUCUCAAACCUGUGAUCCUCCUGCCUCAGUCUCCUGAGUGUCCGGGAUUAUAGGACUGUGCCACAGUAUCAGGCAUAACAGUGCUUUUAAUAGCAAAUUCUGAAUAAAAAUUAAAUGCUCAACAGUAAGGGACCCACUGCAUAAAUGAAGAUGUAUCUACGGGUGUUGAGAGCCUUCUUAACGGGGAUAUUAUAUGAUCAUUAAAAAAUCAAAGUAUUUGGGGCUGGGAUUGUGGCUCAGUGGUAGAGCACUCGUCUAGCACGCAUGAGGCCCUGGGUUCAAUCCUCAGCACCACAUAAAAAUAAAUAAAAUAAAGGUAUUGUGUCCAAUUACUUCUAAAAAAUAAAAAAUAACAAAAAAAUCAAAGUAUUUAAUGCGAAUCAAAACUACUCUAAGAUUUCAUCACUCCAGUCAGAAUGGCAAUUAUCAAGAAUACAAGCAAUAAUAAGUGUUGGCAAGGAUAUGGGGAAAAGGUACACUCAAUACAUUGCUGGUGGCACUGCAAAUUGGUCAACCAUUAUGGAAAGCAGUAUGGAGAUUCCUUAGAAAACUUGGAAUGGAACCACCAUUUGACCCAGCUAUCCCACUCCUUGGUCUAUACCCAAAGGACUUAAAAUCAGCAUACCACAGUGACACAGCCACAUCAAUGUUCAUAGCAGCUCAAUUCACAAUAGCUAAACUGUGGAACCAACCUAGAUGCUCUUCAACAGAUUGAUGGAUAAAGAAACUGUGGUACAUAUACACAAUGGAAUAUUACUCAGCAUUAAAAGAGAAUAAAAUUAUGGCAUUUGCAGGUAAAUGGAUGGAGGUGGAGAAUAACAUGCUAAGCGAAGUAAGCCAAUCCCAAAAAACCAAACAAGGAAUGUUCUCUCUGAUAAGUGGAUGCUGACCCAUCAUGAGGGAGAGGGAGUGUGGGGGAGAAUGGAGGAACUUUGUGCAAAGGGGAGGGAGAGGAAGGUAGGGGGCAAGGGGGUACGAAAGAUGGUGGAAUUAGAUGAACAUCAUUACCCUAGGUACACAUAUGACUGCACAUGUGGUGAGACUCUACAUCAUCUACAACUAGAGAAAUGAAAAGUUGUGCUCCAUUUGUGUACAAUGAAUUGAAAUACACAUGUAUUAUAAAUUAGGACAAAUUUUAAAAAAUAAAAAUAAAUAUAAAUACAUGAAAAAAAGCAUUUAAGGUUCAGAAUAUUAUUACAUGUUUAA